GUCAGGCCUUGGUCAAGUUCCUCCCUGCAGCAGAUGGUAUGGUAGGUGGAUGAAGUUUUGUGUUUGCUCUACUGACCUGAAGUGAGGAACAACCACAUACAUCUUUGUCUUCACUCUGUCCAGCUGUCAACUGCAUUGUUCCCUCACGUCUUCCUGCAAAGUACCAUUAUUUCCACACCUUAAGAAUUAAAGAGUGAAGAGAAAACGACAAAAUGUUCUUGUUUAUCAGGAGA
rnacentral:lncRNA from 10 species